UAUGAACAUUUCAGCAAGAUCACUUCAUUAAUCUUUGAAUUAAUUAACGUUAUUAUUUUUACGUUAUUUAGACAGAAGUUUACAUUGCGUUGUUUUGCCAACUCUUCACGGAUUCAAAAAACAAAAAGACUGGAUAAAAAGUAGACGGUUUGAACAAAAGAUGAAGUGUAUCAUUCUAUUGAUGUUUGUACUUGUGGGGUCCAUUAUGGCCAGACCGCGUGUUGUCAGUAACCAUGCACUGGGAAACAAGCGUCUAGCGCCCUGCCCUCAGGGCAUACUGCUACUGGAUCAAGCCGCUCAGCUAAAAAGUCAGGGCUACAACAUUACUUGUGGAGAUCACCAGAAUUUUCUAGGCGGCUAUUAUUGCUUCUGUCACGAUUCAACUACACCUUUUUAGAUUCCAAAAUAAAAUCACGAAGAUGAAGUCAAA
rnacentral:sRNA from 1 species